ensembl:lncRNA
AAAACACACACAAACAUGUGCAUGCACACACACACACACACAAAUAACAUAAAGAUCCAUGAUUCACUCUUCAAAUCAACUUGCUUUCAACCAUAUGGAAAGUGUAUGGAUUGAAUCUUUCAGAUACUUUUUCAGAGCAGAUACGCCAAACUCUAUUUCUCUCACCUGGCUCCAGGCAUUAUUUAGUCUUCUCCAGCUGGGUAUAAUUAUUCAUUAGGGAACUCUCCUGUUAUUCACACUCAAAUUUGUGAUGGCUGUGCUGUGGAUGCCACUAUCUUGAAAGGAAGCCUUACAUGGUGAAGCGUUCGGGUGGGUAGAAGGAACAUAAGAAGAGAAAACUAGAGGAAAGGUAUUGGAGAAUGUGUGAGAAGAAGAUAUGUACUUCGGAGGAAUGUCAUCUCCAUGAUGUCUGAAGCUUGCCUUGGAGCUCUUCCAAAGGAGGUGGACAGGAGGGGCAAAUGACACAUCUACAUGGAAUGAUUUGAAGCACUACUCUUCCAAACAGGGCUCACCAUUUCAAGCCAGCAUUUUACCAACCUCCAACCUGCAGAGCGUGGUUAUAUGUUGUACAAAUGAUAUGAGAUGGAAUGGCUGAUGGCUGGGACCUCACAAGCUAUCUGGCGGAUUUCUAUAUUUGACUCCUGAAGGACUUCUGCCCUAGGAUGACGUUAUUUCUCCUUUGGGAAAUUAGAAACAUUAGCAGGUGCAGCCCCAGGCAUCCUGGCCUCCUCAUUUUAUCUUUUUUCCUUUCUCGAGAAACUUGCUUCCCUACAAUAUGCUCAGUAACUUCUUUUCCCUGUACCUUUUAUAACACAGAUCAGAACCUGCUAUGGAAAAGAUCUUAUAAUUUUAGUGAACUUGUGCCUUAAGCUUCAUUCUUAAUUGUAGGAUAAAUUAUCCUAUCAAAGGCAUUUCAAUCUCCACCUAGCAGAAAGGAAAAUGCUCUCUAAUGGAAAUUUAGAAAUCACAGCAUGUAGCCGCUAACUCUGCCAGCUUUGCUGGGCCACUUUGCUCUGUAGGAUUUUCCCUCUAAUUUGCUGAGAAGGCUCAGGGGUGAACACAACACAAAAUUUGCAUGAGUGUAUGGUCUGCAUACUGUGCUUGACUUCUCUACAGUCAAACUAGUUACUUCAGACUAAUAUUUCCACUGAUAAUUUUUGUAUGGAGGCCUCCAGUGGACUCUACCAUGACUACAGCAGCAUAAUGUAGUUUAUUGCCAAUUCUCUGGUGAACCAGUCUUAGAGGGUGGGACGUAUAAGGAAUUUAGAAGGAAUAUCAGACUUGGUGACAUAGAUUAUAGCCACAAAAAUUUAUAAUACACUUGGAAAGAUAAAACUAACAUGCAUGAAAACAAGAAGUCCAUGAGCCACUACAUAAGAAAUAUGCUUUAACUCCACAGGAGGGGAAGUCAUUCUGCCUUGCUCUAGUUAGGGACAUAUUCAGAGAAAAGGACAGCAAGAAUGAUUGGUAGGAUUUAAAUUGGAGGGGUAGGGUGGAGGCAUCCCAGGUAAGAGGAACAAUGGCAUUAUGGAAAAGAGAGUACAGAGGAGGCUGAGAGGUGUAAGAUGGCAUAGGCAGGAAUAGGGCAGAUUAUGGAUGGGUUAGAAACACAGGAAUUUAGCUUUGAUGUGAGAAGGUAAAGGGAAUCAUAGUAAAUUUUAUGGAAGAGUGAAAGGAUAAUGAAAUAAAACGGCAAAGGCAUAUCUGUCUUUGAACUCUUAUUGUGUGACUUUUACCAAAUUACAUAACUAUUUUCAUCCUCAGUUUCCUCAUGCACAAAAUCAAGACCUAGGGUUAUGUGAAGAUUUUAGGAUGAGUGAGAAAUAAGGGAAAUAAUAAACAAUAAUAAUAAAAGAUGUCUAUUAUUAGUAUUUAAUGCUUAUUGGUUUAAGGAAAUGGAGAUGACUAUAGUUUUUAUGACCCCCUUCAAAAGGUGGAACUUCCUUCUUCCCUUGAAUCUAGGCAGAUCCUGUGGCUGCUUUGCCUUAUGGAAUAUUGCAGAAAUUAUGAUGUGCCAAAUUACAGAUCCAGACCUUCUUCCACUCUUGUCUCUUGGAAUGCUUGCUCUUGGUAUACUCCUUCUAAGAACCCAGUCACCAUGAUUUGAAAAUCCUGAGCCACAUGAAAAGGCCACAUGUAGAUACUGCAGUUCAUAGUAUCAACUGUACUCCCAACUGACAGAUACCAAUAACUGCCAGUCAUGUUGAGUGAGUCAUCUUCACCAGCGCUUCACCUUCUUGAGCCUUCACAUUAUUUCGGUCUUAGCUCCUGUCCAGCAAAAGCACGUAGGGGCCCAAGCAAAGACCGCCCAGCUGAGACUGAUUAGCUCACAGACCCUUGGUGAAAAAUAAUACAUUUCCUUUGAAGGUCAAUGUUUAAACAAACUUUGAGAUGGUUUGUUAUACAGCAAUUGAGAACUGGAACAUGGAUUUUCUUUUUUUAAACCAUGAUAAUAUUAAGGGGGAUAUUAAGAAGUAUUUGUUGUGAGUGUUACAUAUGAAGGACAGGAUUCCAGGUGUAGAGGAGAUGAAGGCCUUGAUUAGGGAAUCAGUGUUGUAAAUAAAGAGUGUUUCUUUCAUUAACCAUUCAUUCAUUCACUCAAGAAAUAUUUAUUGAGCAACAGCAUUCAUAGCACCAAGUUUAUGAAAGCUAUUUAUUAUUUGGCUAUGGAAUUACAAAAAAUAAUAGCAUGAUACUGUAUUGUAAAUUUUAGAACUUUAUAUUUUCCUGCUCCUUCAACAUCCCCCAAAACAGGCUGUGAUCACCCUGCUUGGGUGACCAGGUGCCCCAGUGUGAUAAGUUUGCUCCCUGUCACAAGUUCCUCUUUUUGCUAUCCCCUGCCUGUGACCACCAAUAAAUAUUCAACAAUGAAAUCUCCUUAUGCCUUUUCCUCGUGUACUCUACCCUGACCGCCAGUAAAGGCAUUUGUCUAUGGGUCUUCACUCUCCCUUGACUUCCCACCUGCUUGAUUGAGCCUAUUCCCUUGGAGCUCCUUCCAUAUGGCACCCUGUGUGGCAUGCUGUGCCUCUCUCUCUAGGACCUGGGAGGAUAAUAAAUCCUUUAGUUUCAUGUGCCUCUCCAAAUGUAAUUUCUGCAGCCAUGUUAGAAUUAGAUCCUUAAAGACCUUGCAAGGGAGACUUACUCCCCCAUUUACAACAUAGAUACCUGUGUUUAAAACAUUUAAAUCUUACAGUAUUUGCCAGGACACUGGCUAAAACCGGGCUGCUUAUCAGACGUAUAAGGAAUAUUGGCAAAUUCAACAGGCCUGGACUUCCACAUCUAGUAUAAAAGAAAAGAAAGCAAGCAAAAAUUACAACGCCCACACAAGCACACACACACACAUACACACAAAUACAC